rnacentral:tRNA from 1 species
GAGGGCCUAGCUCAGUGGUAGAGCACAUGCUUACCACGCAGGAAGUUCUGGGUUCAAUCCCCAGUAUCUCCA